AACGAACGCUGGCGGCGCGUUUUAAGCAUGCAAGUCGAACGGCAAGGUGGUAGCAAUACCGCCCUAGAGUGCGAACGGGUGAGUAAGACGUAGGUGAUCUACCCCUGGAUGGGGGAUAGUCCGUGGAAACACGGGGUAAUACCGCAUGAGGCCUUGGGGGUGAAGCCCUGAGGUGAAAGCUCCAACUGGAGCGUCUGGGGAUGAGCCUGCGGCCCAUUAGGCAGUUGGCGGGGUAACGGCCCACCAAACCGACGAUGGGUAGCCGGCCUGAGAGGGUGUACGGCCACACUGGAACUGAGACACGGUCCAGACUCCUACGGGAGGCAGCAGCUAAGAAUCUUCCGCAAUGGGGGCAACCCUGACGGAGCGACGCCGCGUGGACGAUGAAGGCCGUAAGGUUGUAAAGUCCUUUUGCAGGCGAAGAAUAAGGUGGGGAGUGGAAAGCCCUGCUGAUGACGUUAGCCUGCGAAUAAGCCCCGGCCAAUUACGUGCCAGCCGCCGCGGUAAAAC
rnacentral:rRNA from 1 species